rnacentral:rRNA from 1 species
AUACAGAGGGUGCGAGCGUUAAUCGGAAUUACUGGGCGUAAAGCGCGCGUAGGCGGCUUAUUAAGUCAGAUGUGAAAUCCCCGGGCUCAACCUGGGAACUGCAUCUGAUACUGGUAAGCUAGAGUUUUGGAGAGGGAAGUAGAAUUUCAGGUGUAGCGGUGAAAUGCAUAGAGAUCUGAAGGAAUACCAGUGGCGAAGGCGACUUCCUGGCCAAAAACUGACGCUGAGGUGCGAAAGCGUGGGUAGCAAACGGGAUUAGAUACCCUUUGUAGUCC